rnacentral:rRNA from 1 species
UACGUAGGGUGCAAGCGUUAAUCGGAAUUACUGGGCGUAAAGCGUGCGCAGGCGGCUUUGCAAGACAGAUGUGAAAUCCCCGGGCUCAACCUGGGAACUGCAUUUGUGACUGCAUGGCUAGAGUGCGGCAGAGGGGGGUGGAAUUCCGCGUGUAGCAGUGAAAUGCGUAGAUAUGCGGAGGAACACCGAUGGCGAAGGCAAUCCCCUGGGCCUGCACUGACGCUCAUGCACGAAAGCGUGGGGAGCAAACAGG